rnacentral:rRNA from 1 species
UACGUAGGGUGCAAGCGUUAUCCGGAAUUAUUGGGCGUAAAGAGCUCGUAGGCGGUUUGUCGCGUCUGCUGUGAAAACUGGGGGCUCAACCCCCAGCCUGCAGUGGGUACGGGCAGACUAGAGUGCGGUAGGGGAGAUUGGAAUUCCUGGUGUAGCGGUGGAAUGCGCAGAUAUCAGGAAGAACACCGGUGGCGAAGGCGGCUCUCUGGGCCUUACCUGACGCUGAGGAGCGAAAGCGUGGGUAGCGAACAGG